rnacentral:rRNA from 1 species
AUAAUGGGUCAGCGACUUAUAUUCUGUAGCAAGGUUAACCGAAUAGGGGAGCCGGAGGGAAACCGAGUCUUAACUGGGCGUUAAGUUGCAGGGUAUAGACCCGAAACCCGGUGAUCUAGCCAUGGGCAGGUUGAAGGUUGGGUAACACUAACUGGAGGACCGAACCGACUAAUGUUGAAAAAUUAGCGGAUGACUUGUGGCUGGGGGUGAAAGGCCAAUCAAACCGGGAGAUAGCUGGUUCUCCCCGAAAGCUAUUUAGGUAGCGCCUCGUGAAUUCAUCUCCGGGGGUAGAGCACUGUUUCGGCAAGGGGGUCAUCCCGACUUACCAACCCGAUGCAAACUGCGAAUACCGGAGAAUGUUAUCACGGGAGACACACGGCGGGUGCUAACGUCCGUCGUGAAGAGGGAAACAACCCAGACCGCCAGCUAAGGUCCCAAAGUCAUGGUUAAGUGGGAAACGAUGUGGGAAGGCCCAGACAGCCAGGAUGUUGGCUUAGAAGCAGCCAUCAUUUAAAGAAAGCGUAAUAGCUCACUGGUCGAGUCGGCCUGCGCGGAAGAUGUAACGGGGCUAAACCAUGCACCGAAGCUGCGGCAGCGACGCUGAUGCGUUGUUGGGUAGGGGAGCGUUCUGUAAGCCUGUGAAGGUGGCCUGUGAGGGUUGCUGGAGGUAUCAGAAGUGCGAAUGCUGACAUAAGUAACGAUAAAGCGGGUGAAAAGCCCGCUCGCCGGAAGACCAAGGGUUCCUGUCCAACGUUAAUCGGGGCAGGGUGAGUCGACCCCUAAGGCGAGGCCGAAAGGCGUAGUCGAUGGGAAACAGGUUAAUAUUCCUGUACUUGGUGUUACUGCGAAGGGGGGACGGAGAAGGCUAUGUUGGCCGGGCGACGGUUGUCCCGGUUUAAGCGUGUAGGCUGGUUUUCCAGGCAAAUCCGGAAAAUCAAGGCUGAGGCGUGAUGACGAGGCACUACGGUGCUGAAGCGACAAAUGCCCUGCUUCCAGGAAAAGCCUCUAAGCAUCAGGUAACAUCAAAUCGUACCCCAAACCGACACAGGUGGUCAGGUAGAGAAUACCAAGGCGCUUGAGAGAACUCGGGUGAAGGAACUAGGCAAAAUGGUGCCGUAAC